AUACUGCUGAGGAGUCCCAAAAUAGGACGAAACGGUCGUCCAGUGC
rnacentral:hammerhead_ribozyme from 1 species